rnacentral:ncRNA from 1 species
UACCUGGUUGAUCCUGCUGCAGUAGUCAUAUGCUUGUCUCAAAGAUUAAGCCAUGCAUGUGUAAGUAUGAACUAAUUCAGACUGUGAAACUGCGAAUGGCUCAUUAAAUCAGUUAUAGUUUGUUUGAUGGUACCUACUACUCGGAUAA